AGAGUUUGAUCAUGGCUCAGGACAACGCUGGCGGCGUGCUUAACACAUGCAAGUUGAACGGGCAGACUUGUCUGUUAGUAGCGGACGGGUGAGUAAUGCAUGAGGAGCUGUCAUAGGGAGGGGGACAACAGUUGGAAACGGCUGCUAAUACCCCGUAGCCGGAAGGUGAAAGGAGCGAUCCGCCCGAUGAGGUACUCAUGUCCUAUCAGCUGGUUGGUGGGGUAACGGCCUACCAAGGCGACGACGGGUAGCCGGCCUGAGAGGGUGAACGGCCACACUGGAACUGAGAUACGGUCCAGACUCCUACGGGAGGCAGCAGUGGGGAAUAUUGGGCAAUGGGGGGAACCCUGACCCAGCGACGCCGCGUGAGGGCGGUCGUUGACCUCUUUUGUACGGGAACUGUACGAAUAAGUCCCGGCAACUACGUGCCAGCAGCCGCGGUAAUACGUAAGGGACGAGCGUUGUCCGGAAAUACUGGGCGUAAAGGGCGCGCAAGCGGAAAUGCAAGUCUGCUGUGUAAUGUCACGGCUCAAACCGUGUCAUUGCGGGGGAACUGCAUAUCUGGAGUACUGGAGAGGGGAGUGGAAUCCCCGGUGUAGCGGUGAAAUGCAUAGAUAUGCUACAGAACACCAAUGNCGAAGGCAGCUCACUAAACUCAACUGACGCUCAUGCACGAAAGCGUGGGGAUCAAACAGGAUUAGAUACCCUGGUAGUCCACGCUGUAAACGAUGAUUACUCGUUGUUGGCGACACACAGUCAGCGACCAAGCGAAAGUGAUAAGUAAUCCACCUGGGGAGUACGAUCGCAAGGUUGAAACUCAAAGGAAUUGACGGGGGCCCGCACAAGCGGUGGAGCAUGUGGUUUAAUUCGAUGAUACGCGAGGAACCUUACCUGGGCAAUGUUGUUGACGUAUUCUGAAAGGGAUACUUUCGCAUAACAGGUGCUGCAUGGUUGUCGUCAGCUCGUGCCGUGAGGUGUCGGGUUAAGUCCCAUAACGAGCGCAACCCCUAUCAUUAGUUGCCAUCAGGUCAAGCUGGGGACUCUAAUGAAACUGCCUACGCAAGUAGAGGAAGGUGGGGAUGACGUCAAAUCAGCACGGCCCUUACGUCCAGGGCUACACACGUGCUACAAUGGCCGGUACAAAGGGCAGCUACCUGGUGACAGGAUGCUAUCUCGAAAGCCGGUCUCAGUUCGGAUCGGAGUCUGCAACCCGACUCCGUGAAGCUGGAAUCGCUAGUAAUCGCGCAUCAGCCAUGGCGCGGUGAAUACGUUCCCGGGCCUUGCACACACCCCCGUC
rnacentral:rRNA from 1 species